GCAAAUGUUCUCAAAGCCACCUUGUCCAAGUCUUGGGCCAAUAGAACUUUCCACAUCACCACCAAGAUGAGCAAUGUUUUCUUAUUCACAUUCGACCAAGAAAUUGACGCUUAAUUUGUGUUCAAGAAUCGACCGUGGUCAGUGCAAAAUCAACAUUUAUCCCUACAAAAGUGGCCACCGGAUAUCGCUUUUGAUGAAAUCAAUUUUAGCCAUUCACCCUUCUGGAUUCAG
rnacentral:misc_RNA from 1 species